rnacentral:tRNA from 1 species
GUUUCUAUAGUUGAAUAACAAC